CCUGGCUCACAUUUAAACGCCAGGGCUGAGUCUAGGCAGGGGGUUUCCUGCCACCAGCCAAGGGGGGAAGGAGCUCUCCCAGAGAAGAGGGGGAGGCCUUACUGUAGGAGCAGCUUCUGUCACUGCAGAGGGACAGAGGAUUCCCUGAGUCUGCCCACGUCUCCUGCGGCCAGGGGGCAAGCUGCCAGUGAGCUGAGCAGUCCCAGUCCUUCCCUCCAAGGUGGCAGCAUCCCUGGAGCCACCUUAGCUAGCUGCUAGCAGGUGCCUGUCUAGUACCAGUGACCAUGGCAGACCUCUCUGCACUCCUAAGGAAUACAUUGCAGAGGAGCCUGGACAGCCUGACAGAUGGUUUUUAUAUUACAUUAUGUUAGGUUUCAUCACUAGUUAUAGACCUGGAAAAAGUAAAAGCCCGGGAAAACCAGGAUCCCUGGACAUUACACAGCUUGUCUUGAAUAAAAUAUAAGCCAAAAGACUUUGUUAUUCCUUAAGUACUUUCUAAAUAAAUAACAUCUCACUAAUUAGGGAAGCUCAGAACAGAUCCAUUAAAGGGAGGAAUUUGCCAGAUUGUGCAUAUCAGACUGGAAUGUGAUUCACCAGACAGUAAUA